rnacentral:rRNA from 1 species
GACAGAGGGUGCGAACGUUGUUCGGAAUUACUGGGCGUAAAGCGCGUGUAGGCGGCCGCGCAAGUCGGGCGUGAAAUCCCGCGGCUCAACCGUGGAAGUGCACUCGAAACUGCGCAGCUAGAGUCCUGGAGAGGAAGGUGGAAUGCUUGGUGUAGAGGUGAAAUUCGUAGAUAUCAAGCGGAACACCGGUGGCGAAGGCGGCCUUCUGGACAGUGACUGACGCUGAGACGCGAAAGCGUGGGGAGCGAACAGG